CGGCCACUAAUGCAAUAGAGGAAGGCCGCUGCAACCCGGCUCGGAAGUUUCCGGUCGCACGUUUCGGGCAACGCCGGCCGAAUGUUUCGUACGACUUCGUCCUGUGUCUCACAGAUGAUGCUGGUUGCAAGAGUGUGACCGGUCUCAACGUCUCACUAUACGUCGUCUGCUGGGAACGCAUUAUGCGACGAUCGCUACGGGUGACACUAUCGCCUUCGCGUGACGUAGUACUCAAUCAGCUCAUCUGAUUUUGCGCAACCAGCCAAUCAGCGCAAGCCUGACGGCGAUACUCUCGCGCAGGCGAAGCUAUCGCAGGAAGUGAUCGUCGCAGAAUACGCCGCCAAAACAUCUUAGAAACCACCUUCGCGCGCCACAUAUAUGCGUCCCGUCGAACUGGAACAUUGCAGAAAUUACUUAAACAAUGGUUGACGGCAGCUAAUCGUUGUGCACGCGGCAUCUCGUCUCUCAGCCAACUACGCUCGUGAAAAAGUCAGACCUUUUGUGGGGCCUACAUUCUAUUGGGGACAGCCUUCGUAGACUGAGUGAAAUGUCCAACUGGAAUAUCUAAACCACAAGGUCAGGGGGCGAGUGCCACCGCUUCAGAUGCAGGCUGGGAGGUCUUGGGUCCCAGUAGCCUCUUCAGCCAGUUGGACGAGCCGGAGCUGCAGCUCAGAGUCCGGGCUGCGCAGCAGAGUCUCCCAGAUGGAUGCUCCUGCAGUACAGGCGAAACCGUCCUGCUGUUCGAUGUUGGAGGUGCGGCCUCCGUUUCAGCGCGACCCAAAUGCACAAUAAAUGCACACGUUUUUUUCACGCAUCAUGAGAAA